UCUAACAUGAUGUAUACGUGUGUUGAGAAGUUGCUACAGGUUUGUCUAAAUCAUUAAUUGCUUUUAAAAAGCAAGAGAAUUUCAAGCUCUAGAUUUUUUUAGGCUCCUUCUCACUACUAAACCUUUAGCAGUCCCUUCUUUCUAUUAUUCAUGAUUUCUCCGCUGUUCUCGUAAGAGGUUCAUGAUGAUUUUUGAUUUUAGAAGACAGCGCUAUAAAAAGCAAUUAAAAAAGUCAAAAUAUCAAUAGACUUGUGAUAUAUAACCAAAAGACUUGGCAAUAUUUCAUAUUCCUUCAAAUUUAGUGUCUUCUUCUCAUGCACAGGUUUUCUCAGAUUUCUUUUGUGAGGAAGCAAGUCUGGAGCUUCAAUUUUGCUGGGCAUAAUAUAACAGAAAGAAGAGAGGAACAGUGGACCUCAGCCAUGGUGGGGAAACCUAAUUUUUGUCUCAGUCCUUUGACUGAAUCAAUGUUGUCUUGAUGGAGGAACUUGCUCUUGUGGUCAGGUGGAAGAAAGCUGGAAUUAGGAUGUUUAACCUGAGAGCUCUUUUCUGUGAAGAAACAGGAAACAAAUCUGGAGGGAAACACUCAGAAAAGAGGAAAAUAGGACAAUGAAGGAGCUAUGCAAGGUCCCUCUGGACCAUAUGAGGUCCAUCCUGGGAAAAUGCAGGAGCUUUGGGAAUGCAGCAUCUCAUCUCAAGAAAGAAUGGCCACAGGAUGAGGUGAGCUUUGGAGAUAGUUGUGACUGUGCUACAAGCCUGAGGUGCCAAUUUAAAUUUAACUUUUUUCCCCUAGAAGUGAGCAAUGCCUAGAGUUUUCAGCCUCCUGCAGAUGAAAAACAAUAAAGAGAUUCUACAGGGACGCAUCUUGGUAGGACUAGAAAGGUGCUUUUUCCAUAUUGCUGAUCUCUGAGGGAAUUGUUCCAGUAUAAGGUAGGUUCUGAGGCACAAAUGAUUUUCAUUUUUUUCAGCUCUAUUUUGGUUGUUAUGGCUGAGCACAAAUAGGGCUCAGCAGGGCCAUUUGGUGGAGCUGCCAUAGGCUUGAGCAUUCCUCAUAGCAACACUGCAGCGGUCUGUGUGAUGAGCACCACAAACUGUAAUGCCAGGUAGAGCAAAUGGAACUCAGAGCUGAAAAUUAAAUAUUUUUAAUUAAAAUCCACAUCUGCAAGCCACUUGCUGAGAGGCAGGGCUUGGCUGCUGAGUUCUGCUGCCACGCUGGGAUCACCAGGACCAGAGAUGGCAAUUCCAGAGAGGCAGCCAGCCGAUCUCAUGGGCUAAUAUUUAAAAAGGUGCUGGUGCCCAAUG